rfam:Chelonia mydas contig144252, whole genome shotgun sequence.
GACUGAGUGGCCUACCGGAUAAGGCACCUGACUUCGGAUCAGGUGAUUGAGGGUUCGAGUCCCUUCGAGGUUC